UUGACUGGUGAUGAAUGGUGAUGAAGGGAUGUGGAGGUGAUUGGAAAGGGGUGAGCGUGUGUUGGGUUGGAUGGUGAGUGUAAUGAUGAUGGUGGUGAUGAAAUGGUGAUGAAGUAGGUUUUGAAGGGAGUUGAGUGGAUCUGGAAUGGUCUGGUACUGGUGAUGAAGUGGUGGUGGAGUUUGAGUGGAGUGGAUUUAGAAGUGGUGUUUAACUGGUGAUGACGAGAUAAGGUGGGUCUAGUUAUGGUGUUGGAAGUGGUGAUGAAGAAGUGAGGUGGUGAUGAAUUGGUGAUGAGGAUUAAGCUUUCUUGUUAUGGUGUUGAAACUGGUGAUGGGAAAGUGAGAUGGUGAUGAAACUGGUGGUGAUGAAAAGGAAAUAACCCACAUCUAAAAAGUGGUGAUGAAAAAUGGUGAUGAGUAUUAGCUAUCGAGGUGGUGGUGAAAUGGUGUUGAAAAUGGUGAUGAGAUGGUGAUGAAACUGGUGGUGAUGAAGAGGAAACCCACAUCUAAAAAGUGGUGAUGAAAAAUGGUGAUGAGUAUUAGCUAUCGAGGUGGUGGUGAAAUGGAGUUGAAAAUGGUGAUGAGAUGGUGAUGAAACUGGUGGUGAUGAAGAGGAAACCCACAUCUAAAAAGUGGUGAUGAAAAAUGGUGAUGAAUAUUAGCAAUCGAGGUGGUGAAAUGGAGUUGAAAAUGGUGAUGAGAAAGUGAAGAGAUGAUGGUGGUGAUGAAGAGGAAAUAACCCACAUCUAAAAAGUGGUGAUGAAUAUUAGGAGUCGAGGUGGUGGUGAAAUGGAGUUGAAAAUGGUGAUGAGAUGGUGAUGAAACUGGUGGUGAUGAAGGGGAAAUAACCCACAUCUAAAAAGUGGUGAUGAAAAAUGGUGAUGAGUAUUAGCUAUCGAAGUGGUAGUGAAAUGGAGUUGAAAAUGGUGAUGAGAAAGUGAGGAGAUGAUGGGGGUGAUGAAGAGGAAAUAACCCACAUCUAAAAAGUGGUGAUGAAAAAUGGUGAUGAGUAUUAGGAGUCGAGGUGGUGGUGAAAUGGAGUUGAAAAUGGUGAUGAGAUGGUGAUGAAACUGGUGGUGAUGAAGAGGAAACCCACAUCUAAAAAGUGGUGUUGAAAAAUGGUGAUGAGUAUUAGCUAUCGAGGUGGUAGUGAAAUGGAGUUGAAAAUGGUGAUGAGAUGGUGAUGAAACUAGUGGUGAUGAAGGGGAAAUAACCCACAUCUAAAAAGUGGUGAUGAGUAUUAGCUAUCGAGGUGGUAGUGAAAUGGAGUUGAAAAUGGUGAUGAGAUGGUGAUGAAACUGGUGGUGAUGAAGAGGAAACCCACAUCUAAAAAGUGGUGAUGAAAAAUGGUGAUGAGUAUUAGCUAUCGAGGUGGUGGUGAAAUGGAGUUGAAAAUGGUGAUGAGAAAGUGAGGAGAUGAUGGUGGUGAUGAAGAGGAAAUAACCAACAUCUAAAAAGUGGUGAUGAAAAAUGGUGAUGAAUAUUAGGAGUCGAGGUGGUGGUGAAAUGGAGUUGAAAAUGGUGAUGAGAAGGCGAGGAGAUGGUGAUGAAACUGGUGGUGAUGAAGAGGAAAUAACCAACAUCUAAAAAGUGGUAAUGAAAAAUGGUGAUGAGUAUUAGCUAUCGAGGUGGUAGUGAGGUGGAGUUGAGGAGGAGGAGGAGGAGGUGGUGUUGAUUUGGUGUUGAUCAUGUUAUGGUGAGGAGUUGAGGAGGUAAUAACGUGGUGCUGACGUGGUGCUGAGGGCGUGACAGGUAGCACACAGCACUCAGCAUUACCGGGUGACUCACGCUGAAGGAGUGUGGGAAGCUGGGCAGGAAGACAGCGAGGUGGCGGGAAAGACGAGAAACAAUUAAGGGCAAGAAAAAGGAAGAAAACGAAAGAGAGGAGGAAGAAGGAGCAAAAAUUAACGUGAUAAAUAAGGAAGAACAUGAAAAAGAAGAAAACAAAGACCAAGAAACGAAAGAGAGAAGGAAGAAGGAGCAAGAAUUAGCGUGAUAAAUAAGGAAGAACAUGAAAAAGAAGAAAACAAAGACCAAGAAACGAAAGAGAGAAGGAAGAAGGAGCAAGAAUUAGCGUGAUAAAUAAGGAAAAACAUGAAAAAGAAAAAAUACCGAAGAGGAAGAAUCGAAAGAGAGAAGGAAGAAGGAACGAAAAUUAACAUGAUAAAUAAGAAAGAACUUGAAGAAAAAGAAAGAAUAUGACAAUUGAGACAAGAUACGUUAGUUAGUUAGUUAACACGACAACCACAAAACUAUACAAGAAAAGAAAGAAAAGAAGCAAGAAUUAACGUGAUAAAUAAGAAAGAACUUGAAGAAGAAAGAAUAUGACAGUUGAGACAAGUUACGUUAGUUAGUUAGGCGACAGUUAGUUACCACGACAGCCACAAAACUAUACAAGGAAAGAGAUAACAUUACCAUCGAGAGAGAGGUGGUUAGUUACGCUUCAUAGAGUUGGCUGGGUAAGGUGACACACUAUCUCCAAACGUAUUAACGACACUCAGUAAACUACACUAGAAGAGACAAUAUUACAAUCAAGAAAGCCUGUGAGUUAGUUAGUUAGUUGGGCAAGGUGACACACUAUACCUCCAAACGUAUUCACGACACCCAGUAAACUACACAAGAAGAGACAACACUACUAUCAAAAAAGACGUUAGUUAGUUAGUUAGUUGGGCAAGGUGACACACUAUACCUCCAAACGUAUUAACGACACCCAGUAAACUACACAAGAGGAGACAACAUUACAAUCAAGAGACGCUAGUUAGUUAGUUAGUUGGGCAAGGUGACACACUAUCUCCAAACGUAUUAACGACACUCAGUAAACUACACUAGAAGAGACAUUACAAUCAUGAGACGUCAGUUAGUUAGUUAGUUGGGCAAGGUGACACACUAUCUCCAAACGUAUUUACGCCUGGCUUAAAAGUACUGAGAAACGAAGUCAGAUAACAUUAGCAUCAAGAUAGACGGUGAACACUUUAACCACCUUGGAUUCGCAGGUGUUAAAGGCUUACUAAGAGAGUCUGAGGAAUACUUACAUGUUAGACGCUAGUUAGUUAGUUAGUUGAGCAAGGCGACACACUAUCUCCAAACGUAUUUACGCCUGGCUUAAAAGUACUGAGAAACGAAGUCAGAUAACAUUACCAUCAAGAUAGACGGUGAACACUUUAACCACCUGAAGGGGUUAUUACACUGGGCAAAUUUUCCGUGGAUCUUCAGUUAAACCACGAUUUCUGCUAGCGUGGUUCUCAUUUGUUUCUUGUUAUUGCUGCUGCUGAUGAUGGUGAGUAAUACCGUCGUCCUUCAGUGAAAUCUACCGUAGCUUUGGAAGAUCGUGGACACGUCAGAAAACCACGGAAAUAUAAGAACCACGCCAGCGGAAAUCGUGGUUUGACUGAAGAUUCACGGAAAAUUUGCCCAGUGUAAUAGCCUCUUGAGAUUCGCAGGUUUCAAAGUCUUACUAAGAGAGUCUGAGGAACACUUACCGAGAAUGAACGGGAAACUUGCAGGGUCUCAAAAUACCCGUGAAUAUGAGUGUGAAGAAAGCAAGGUCAUGUUUGAUAAUCACUUCGCAAGACAACAAAUGAUGAUCAGAUAGAUGGUGAACACUUUAACCACCUUAGAUUCACAGGUGUCAAAGGCUUACUAAGAGAGUCUGAGGAACACUUACCGAGAAUGAACGGGAAACUUGCAGGGUCACAAAAUACCCGCGAAUAUGAGUGUAAAGAAAGCAAGGUCAUGUUUGAUAAUCACUUCGCAAGACAACAAAUGAUGAUCAGAUAGACGGUGAACACUUUAAUAAACUUAGAUUCACAGGUGUCAAAGGCUUACUAAGAGAGUCUGAGGAACACUUACAGAGAACGAACGGGAAACUUCCAGGGUCUCAAAAUAGGCGUGAAUAUGCCUGUGAAGAAAGCAAGGUCAUGUUUAAUAAUCACUUCGCAAGACAAAUAAUGAUCAGAAACGAAACACUUGAAAGAGCAAAUGGAUUAACAAACGUAAGACUAAGCUCGUAUCCUCAGACAAAGAAAGAAAGAAAGAAGAAAACUAAUAUAUAGAGAAAAGUUACAAUCGAGAAAGACUUAGAUAGGCAGGUAGUUAGUAAGAAAGAAAGAAGAAAAUCAAUAGAGAAAAAUUUAUAAUCAAGAAAGACCUUAGGUUAGUAGCAGGCUUUUUUUAUUAUUGUUUCCUUUUUUGUGCCCUUGUGCUGUCUCCUUUGCUGCAAAACAAAGACGAAUAUUUAGUUAGUCACUUAGUUAGUCAGUCAGUCACUCAGGCAGGCAGGCAUAUUCUCACAACUAGUAUUUCGUAAGGUCACAAAAGGGAUUAGUCUGGUUCUUAGGAGUGUUUUGAUGCAAGAGUUGACCAGCACUUUCACUCUUUCAUCCCUUCCGCUGGCAAACUCCGUAACAGCCUUCCUCCGUCUUAAGUUAGUCAGUUAAUCAGUCAGUCAUUCAGGCAGACAUAUUCUCACAACCAAUAACUCGUAUGGUCACAAAAGGGAUUAGUCUGGUUCUUACGAGUAUUUUGAUGCAAGAGUUGACCAGCACUCUCACUCUUUCAUCCCUUCCGCUGGUAAACUCCUUCACAGCCUCCCUCCGUCAGUAUUUCCUCCUGCCUACGACUUCAACAUUGUCACGAGGGGAGUAUCAGACACCUCUCCACUCGAAACUGACCUCUCUUCUGACCUUUGACCUUUGUUCUUUUGUAUGAGCAUCGGUUAGUGGACUAUUGUUUUUCUCUUUUUGUUUUCUGCCCUUGAGGUGACUCCCUUCCUGUAAAAAAAAAGACGAUCAGAUGGGACCUUUACCGGGGCAGGAUGGAGUACACUAACACCAGACAGAGGACCAGGUGGAGAGGUGGAGUUAGAACCUUUACCGGAGCAGGAUGGAGUACACUAACACCAGACAGAGGACCAGGUGGAGGGGUGGAGUUAGAACCUUUACCGGAGCAGGAUGGAGUACACUAACACCAGACAGAGGACCAGGUGGAGAGGUGGAGUUAUAACAUUUGCCGGGGCAGGAUGGAGUACACUAACGCCAGACAGAGGAUCAGGUGGAGAGGUGGAGUUAGAACCUUUACCGGAGCAGGAUGGAGUACACUAACACCAGACAGAGGACCAGGUGGAGAGGUGGAACUAGAACCUUUACCUGAGCAGGAUGGAGCACACUAACACCAGACAGAGGACCAGGUGGAGAGGUGGAACUAGAACCUUUACCGGGGCAGGAUGGAGUACACUAACACCAGACAGAGGACCAGGUGGAGAGGUGGAACUAGAACCUUUACCGGGGCAGGAUGGAGUACACUAACACCAGACAGAGGACCAGGUGGAGAGGUGGAACUAGAACCUUUACCGGGGCAGGAUGGAGUACACUAACACCAGACAGAGGACCAGGUGGAGAGGUGGAACUAGAACCUUUACCGGGGCAGGAUGGAGUACACUAACACCAGACAGAGGACCAGGUGGAGAGGUGGAGUUAGAACCUUUACCGGAGCAGGAUGGAGUACACUAACACCAGACAGAGAGAAGUGGAAGACAUUGGGAAAGGCUGAAGAUGGGUAGAAGUGGAGGAGGAGGAGAGGAAGAGGAGGAGGAGGAGGAGGAGGAAAGAGUCGGGUAUCCAUAUGGCGGUG